ACGAAGGGGGCUAGCGUUGCUCGGAAUCACUGGGCGUAAAGGGCGCGUAGGCGGCGUUUUAAGUCGGGGGUGAAAGCCUGUGGCUCAACCACAGAAUGGCCUUCGAUACUGGGACGCUUGAGUAUGGUAGAGGUUGGUGGAACUGCGAGUGUAGAGGUGAAAUUCGUAGAUAUUCGGAAGAACACCAGUGGCGAAGGCGGCUCACUGGCUUGGUAUUGACGCUGAG
rnacentral:rRNA from 1 species